rnacentral:lncRNA from 1 species
CAGAGCAGUAAGGCGAAGAAAGAGAAGAGAAGGAGCGUCUGAACGUCAAGAGGAGUUCAGCUGGGGAUGGCCAAACUCCAGGGGAAGAUCAUCUUCUCACUACAUCCCCUUUCCAGCUCCCCAUCCAUCCCACUGAGAGCCACCUCCAUCAGUCAAUAAAAUCCCUGCAUUCACCAUCCUUCAAGUUCACAUGACCCGAUUCUUCCUGGAUGCCAGACAAGGACCCGGGUACUAAGAGGACAGGGUGUAAAAAGCUGUCUGACUCUCCACUAAACUGGUUAACGCUUAGCUGUCUGGGGAUGGCAACUGCUAAAAGGGUAUUCAUUCUAACACUUCCCUAGAGGCUACUGAUACUGAAGUGCUGGGAAGGAAAGAGCAUGGUCCUUUUAAAUGAUAUGGAAGUGGGGAAUGGAAGGGCUGGGUAGAGGAGGGCAUGGUGCCUGGCUAGGACUCUACCCCCACAGACCUAGGUGAGGACAGGCACAUCUGUCUUUGUGCCCAAAUGUUGCAUUUUCCAAGACCACUCUGGCCUGCCACACCCCCAUCCUGUGCCUAUAAAAACCCCUGAAACCCUAGCAGUCAGAUACACAAGUGGCUGGACAUUGUGAGGAACACAUUGGUGGAAAAAGACACAGGUGGCUGGACGUUGAGAGGACAUCGAGGGGAGCACUCUGGCGGAAGAGCACACCAACAGAUGCCAGCAUGCCGCAGGCCAUUGACCAGCAGAAUGACACAGAGUUUGGCUGGGGCAGUCAGAGGAGAGCCCAGGUCCCUGAGCUGCCUGACUCCAGGAAAAAGCCAUCUCCCUUCUGGCUCCCCCAUCUGCUGAGAGCUACUUGUACUCAAUAAAACCUUGAACUCAUUCUCCAAGCCCACAUGCGAUCCAGUUCUUCCAGUACACCAAGGUUGACAGGGUCCAGAGCAAAACCUACGGAAGAAGCUGCAGAGGCCAGGUGGAGGGAAGGAUGCUGAACUGGAGGAGGCCAGGAAAUUAUGAGGUACACCAAUCAAACAUAGUGUGUCCAGAAUUUGUGGGUUCUUGGUCUCACUGACUUCAAGAACGAAGCUGCGGACCCUCACGGUGAUUCUAAGCACAUUAAAAUCUGGAUGACACUUAUCUGAAUCAUUUCGCAACUUGGAGAGAGAUGGAGAAGACACGCAUGGUGUAACUGGGCAUCACCAGAAUGUGCACUGCCAUCUGUGGCUGUCUUCCUGCUGGCAAAUCCUUUUCAUUCCAAGCAAAUAAGAUUCCCUAAAUUAGACAAAAAGGAAGAAACACAACAGAGUCCAUAAUUCUGAGAGGAAGAGAAGAGUGAUCAUCAGCAGCAAAAGGCAAUUGCAGAGAAGCACCACCAAGAGCCAGCUUCAUGCUCAGGAGUGAAUGCUGAGCCGCCUCCUCGUGGUUUCCGGUGCUCCACAUGUUCAGAGAAACUUCUCUGGCCUCACACGUAGAACAGUGGUUCGACGGUACCUUGUGGAAUAAGUAGAAAGUCGGUUUGAAAUCACUGCCUGGGUGGUUUUAAAUACUCCUUGGAAAAUCAGACUGAAGUACAACAGUUGUAUUAUAAUUCCUAUCCCAGAAGGCCUCUAAAGCUAUCUUACCCAAGAGAAGAAAAAAAAAUCCUUUGAGGACUAAGAUCGCAUGAAUGCAUAAACAUCACGAAAUGGACCUGAGGUAGGGAUUGAAAGCGAUGGUUUCCCCAGGGCCAUGAGCCAGUCAAGCACACGAAGAAACUGAGAGGGAGAACUGUUUCUGGAAAGUGUAUUGGAUGGUUCCCUUAACUGACGCUCCAUGUCACAUAAUUAACACAAGAAAAAAUUAGAAUCUCGGGACCUUGCCAUAUAAAAUGAUGUUCAGAAAACAGAGCCUAAUGCUUUGAGGCUGAACUUGAAGCUCCAGUGGAUCAUCACAAAAUUUAAACCAUACGAUCGCAACCACCCUGGAUGCCACCAAGGGACACAGUCCGGAGACCCACUGGGAGGCCUUUGGAUACUUCUUCCUGUCAACACCUAUUCUCACUGCUGAACCCCUAAAGCCAGUUCCUUUAUUUUCAGAUUGGGGUAAUAGCCUCCUAGGUGGGAGAGCACUGAGAGAGGCCAUCUAAAUUUCAGCAAAGCAUUUUAGUAAGUUUCUCAUGACAUUUUUGUGGUCAAGACAAAUAGAUAUGGUCUCAUUGUAAUAUGUUUGAGUAGUACAGUCAGGCACCACAUAAUGAUGCUUUGGUCAAGGAUGAACCACAUGUAGGAGGGUGGUCCCAGGAGAUUAUAAUGGAGCUGAAAUUUUUCUAUUGCCUGGCAUUUAUCAUAAUGUGCUUUUUAUCAUUAUUUUAGAGUAUACUUCUUUUUUGUUGUUGUUGUUUUUUGAGACUGAGUCUCGCUCUGUCGUCCAGGCUGGAGUGCAGUGGCACAAUCUGAGCUACCACAACUUCCACCUACUGGGUUCAAGCGAUUCUUGUGCCUCAGCCUCCCAAGUAGCUGGGAUUAUAGGCACCCGCCACCACACCUGGCUAAUUUUUGUAUUUUUAGUAGAGACGGGGUUUCACCACGUUGGCCAGGCUGGUCUCGAACUCCUGACCUCAUGAUCUGCUUGCCUCAGCCUCCCAAAGUCCUGGGAUUACAGGUGUGAGCCACUGCACCUGGCCUACUUUUUUUUUAUUUUUUAUUUUUAAAAAGGGUAAUUGUACAACAGCCUCAGGCAGGUCCUUCAGGAGCUAUUCCAGAAGAAGGCAUUGUUAUCACAGGAGAUGACAGCUCCAUGUGUGUCACUGCCCCUGAAGACCUCCCAGUGUGACAAGGUGUGCAGGUGGAAGACAGUGGUAUUGAUGAUCCUCACCCUGUGGAGGCCAAAGCAAAUGUGUGCAUUUGUGUCCUAGUUUUCAAUAAAAAAGUCUUAAAAGUUAAAAACAAAUUUUUAAAUAGCAAAAUCUUAUAGAAUACGCAUAUAAAAAGAAAUAUUUUUUACAGCUGUAUAAUGUGUUUGUGUUUUAAUCUAAGUGUUAGACAAAAAUAUGAAAAAGUGAAAAAGUUUGAAAACAUUAAGAAGUCUAUAAAGUUAGAAAAGGUACAGUAUGCUAAGGUUAAUUUAUUUUAUUUAUUUAUUUAUUUUGAGAUGGAGUCUUCCUCUGCUGACCAGGAUGGAGUGCAUGCAGUGGCACAAUCUCGGCUCACGGUAACCUCUGCCUCCUGGGUUCAAGCAAUUCUCCUGCCUCAGCCUCCCGAGUAGCUGGGAUUACAGGCAUAUGCCACCACACCAGGCUAAUUUUUGUAUUUUUAGUAGAGACGGGGUUUCACCAUGUUGAUCAGGCUGGUUUUUAACUCCUGACCUCAAGUGGUCUACCCUCCUCUGCCUCCCAAAGUGCUGGGAUUACAGACAUGAACCACUGCACCCAGCUGGUUAAUUUAUUAUUAAAGAAAGAAAAUUGUAAAAGGUAAAUUUAAUGUGGCCAAAGUGUCCAGUGCUUAUAAAAUCUACAGUAGUAUAAUGUCCUAGGCCUUCAUAUUCACUUACCACCCACUCACUCAUCCAGAGCAACUUCCAGUCCUGCCAAGCUUCAUUCCUGUUAGGUGUCCUAUAUAGGGGUACCAAUUUUUACUUUUAUUUUUUAUUUAUUUUUUUUGAGACGGAGUCUUGUUCUGUCCCCAGGCUGGAGUGCAGUGGUGUGAUAUUGACUCACUGCAACCUCCAACUCCCAGGUUCACGCGAUGCUCCUGCCUCAGCCUCCCGAGUAGCUGGGACUACAGGCACACACCACCACACCCAGCUAAUUUUUUUUGUAUUUUUACUAGAGACGGGGUUUCACCAUGCUGGCCAGGCUGGUCUCGAUCUCCUGACCUUGUGAUCCGCCUGCCUCGGCCUCCCAAAGUGCCGGGAUUACAGGCAUGAGCCACCACGCCCAGCCAAUUUUUAUCUUUUAUAUCAUAUUUUUACCAUACUUUGUCUAUGUUUAGUGAACAAAUACCGUUGUGUUACCGUUGCCUACAGUAUUGAGUGCAGUGGCGUGCUGCACAUGUCUGCAGCCUGGGAGCAAUGGGCUGUAGCACAGAGCCUGGGUGUGUAGAAGGCUGCACCUUCUGGGUUUGUGUAAGUGCACUCUGUGGUAUUCGCAUAAUGAUGAAAUUGCUUAAUGACACUCUUCUCAGAACGUAUCCCUGUCGUUCAGUGAUGCAUGAGAGUAUUUUAAAGGUAGAUUAAUCAUGAGAUGAACAGUGGUGGAAUUUGAUAAAUAGGUAGAAAUUGGCUUCAAGGAGAAUUUUAGUGGUGAUUCCAAGCCUACAUUUAAUCAUUUUAUUAACUUGGAUAAAGACAUCAAUGGCACAUUGAUGAAUGUGCCAUAUGGCAUUUAGUAAAAAGGGAUGGCUCCACUCAAGAGGACAUUAUCGUGAGCCAAAGGGACUCCGAGAGGCUGAAAUGAUUUCCCUAGAUAUAACUAAAUACAGUUUAGCAGAAACGAAUAACCAAUUUCUAUAUUUGGAAAUGCCAUCGUGCCUUCCCCCACCCCAAUCACCUUCAAUACCAAAUUGUAUAGGACACACCUGGUAACUGCACGUAGCCUCCUCUCCCCCUCCUUUGUUGGGACAAUGGGGCUGAUAGAAGAAAACUGGAUUUUUUUUUCCAGUUUUGUUUUCCAGCAACCCCUCAGGACUCUGGUAUUUUUGUUAAUUAUUUGGGAUUUAGGAAUUAAGAGUGAGACCUGACUGAGUCAUGAAAAGGAUGGAGUCUAUAUUCCAAUUUAGAAAGUGGUUUCUGAGACCAUCCCCUGGGGUGGUCAGCAUACCCCAGAGAGGUGAUCAGUUCUGGACAGAGCAUCUUGAGCAGGAAAGCAAUAAUAAACCGGGGUGUGUUUUGAGGAUGGCACCAUGCUUGAGACGGUGUCAUGUGAAGCAGACUGGAAGGAACUGUGGAUGCUGAAUGUGGGGAAGAGAAGACUCUAGAAGCACACCGUCACUGCCUUCAGGUGUUGGAAAGGCCGGCACCAGGGAGAAGGCUGAGACUUGUUCUGUGGGGCAUUAAUGGAAGGAUGCUCAACUGGAUCUUAUACUGAAAGCAAAUAUGAGAUCAAGUCUGCCAGGGUAGGUGUGGAGAAAGUGGCCCUGUAAGCCAAGGGGCUAUUGAGUUCAAUCCUGGAUGUCAUUCCAGCUGGUGGGGUGCGGUGGAAACACCAGGGAAGGGCAGGGGUAGGGGGGGACCAGCCAUGCAGGGGAGAAGGCAAGUCCUCAGACCCCUGUUCUGUGUGGCACUGUGCGGAAGAGGGGAAGGCUGCCUCACUUCACCCUGUGUGCCAGUCCUUUAUCUAACUAAAUCUCCACAGAAAAUCCACAAGAUGGGGUUGAAUGACCUUUUGUUAUCCAGAAAAGAAACAGCCUGAGGAGUAAAGUCACCUGACUGAGGUCACUCUGCUAGAAGGUGGGGCAGGGAUUCAGCCCCCGGUGCUGUCCCUGACUCUCUUUCUGCGUGGAGGGAUUCAGGCUCAGCCUCCAGGAACCGGAGACCAGAGCUCCCUAUCUGGGACCCAGCCACUGAGACGUCAGGUCACAAAGAUGGAUAGAACCAGAGGCACUGGGGAGCCGGAGAGCUUUGGAAAUGGGCAUCUUUAUGUCCUUCUGCCUCAGUCUAGAGCUGAGAUUUGUGAAAGGGCCAAAUCAGGGGUAGGAAGAGGGUGCAGUGUAUCCUCCGAGGUGGGAGGAGGCCGGGCCAUUUGACCAUAUCUUUCUCUUCAGAGUUCACUGUUCCCAAAGACACAUUAUAUGUCAUCCAUUUUUAUAUAAAUGGUGAGUUCCCAAAUGGGAUUUAAAGACAGCCUAGCAAAUCUUUACAUCCCUUGGAACUUAAAACAAAGCUUUUCCUUCACAGAAUUCUAAUCUCUCUUGAAUAAGAGGCUACGAAACUGAGGGACAUUAUAAUAACCUUCAUUUAAAAUUAGAUUCUGGAUGUUCUGGUGACUUAGCUGAAAACAGCUCAAAUCAGCGAAAACCUUUACAAAGACUUUUCGAAAGUUGGAAGACAUAUCUGUACACACAGGGCGUAGAGCCGGACUUGGCCAGUAUGUGCCUUCUGCCUCCUCCUGGCAAUGCUUACCCCUUAUUACUGUUAUUUCUGAGACGUGAAUGUUUUCUCAUAGUGAAUGUAGCAGUAAUAGUAAUAAUAAUAAUAAUAAUAAUAAUAAUAAUAAUAAUGAUAAAGAACAGCAACAUUUCUCACAAACCCAUUUCCUGAGUAUUAGCAGAUUUGCUACUGGGCCUUGGUUCCCCUUAGAUCUUGGCUUAAAUGAAUGCUUAAUAAUGAUAACAGAGGCUGGGUGCCAUGUCUUAUGUUGGUAAUCCCAGCACUUUGGAUCACUUGAGGCCAGGAGUUCGAGACCAUCCUGGCCAACAUGGCGAAACCCUGUCUCUACUAACAAUGCAAAAAUUAGCCAGGUGUAGUGGCACAAAUUAGCCGGGUGUAGUGGCACAAAUUAGCCAGGUGUAGUGGCACACCCCUGUAAUUCCAGCUACUUGGGAGGUUGGGGCAUGAGAAUGGCUUGAACCUGGGAGGCGGAGGUUGCAGUGAGCCAAGAUCACAGCACUGCGUUCCAGCCUGGGCAAUAGAGGCACUCUGUCACAAAAG